UGCAAGUCGAACGAUGAANCCAGCUUGCUGGUGGAUUAGUGGCGAACGGGUGAGUAACACGUGAGUAACCUGCCCUUGACUCUGGGAUAAGCCUGGGAAACUGGGUCUAAUACCGGAUACGACCACUCCGCGCAUGCGGUGGUGGUGGAAAGCCUUGUGCGGUUUUGGAUGGACUCGCGGCCUAUCAGCUUGUUGGUGGGGUAAUGGCCUACCAAGGCGACGACGGGUAGCCGGCCUGAGAGGGUGACCGGCCACACUGGGACUGAGACACGGCCCAGACUCCUACGGGAGGCAGCAGUGGGGAAUAUUGCACAAUGGGCGCAAGCCUGAUGCAGCGACGCCGCGUGAGGGAUGACGGCCUUCGGGUUGUAAACCUCUUUCAGUAGGGAAGAAGCGCAAGUGACGGUACCUGCAGAAGAAGCGCCGGCUAACUACGUGCCAGCAGCCGCGGUAAUACGUAGGGCGCAAGCGUUAUCCGGAAUUAUUGGGCGUAAAGAGCUCGUAGGCGGUUUGUCGCGUCUGCUGUGAAAGACCGGGGCUCAACCCCGGUUCUGCAGUGGGUACGGGCAGACUAAAGUGAUGUAGGGGAGACUGGAAUUCCUGGUGUAGCGGUGAAAUGCGCAAAUAUCAGGAGGAACACCGAU
rnacentral:rRNA from 1 species